rnacentral:misc_RNA from 1 species
AUGAAUUCUGGUGUCUUCGGACCCAACCCCCUUCAUUUAUAUCUAUUUCCUGUGAACUGUAUUGAGUUUUGGAUUUUCAAGUGUGUUUCCUUUAAUGCAUUUGAGUUCAAAACUCUCCCCCCCAAUUUUAAACAACGUCGUUGAAUGUUAUUUACAUCUGUGUAAUGCGGAUUAAAAACAAAAUA